GAUGUCGUGCUGUGUAAGCGCCAGGAUCAUGGUCAGCGACCCCAUGGCCUCCUGGGAUUCUGCCCAAUUUAUAAAUAAGCCGCCCGAGGCUUCCAUGAUUAAAUAUCUUGGCAAGGAGUUUCCGAGCAACCUCGCUUGCUCAUAUGUUAGGUUUGAUAUCAUCCGGAGGAUCCUCACCAGGGUUUUUGGAUACAACGUCAUCAUGGUGAUGGGAAUCACAGAUGUGGACGAUAAAAUUAUUCACAGAGCCUCCGAGAUGAACAUGUCACCUGCUUCUCUUGCCAACCUCUAUGAAGAGGAAUUUAAACAAGACAUGGCAGCCUUGAAGGUCCUGCCCCCCACGGUGUACGUGAGGGUAACCGAAACCAUCCCCCAGAUCAUUUCUUUCAUCGAGGGCAUCAUUGCUAACGGGCACGCUUAUUCAACAGCGCAAGGCAAUGUCUACUUCGAUCUGCAGUCGAGAGGAGACAAGUACGGCAAGCUAGUUGGUGUGGUCCCCGGUCCCCUUGGAGAGCCAGUUGAUUCCGACAAGCGGCAUGCCAGCGACUUUGCCCUGUGGAAGGCAGCCAAACCCCAGGAGGUGUUCUGGGCCUCUCCUUGGGGAAAGGGAAGACCUGGCUGGCACAUAGAAUGUUCCACCAUCUCAAGCUUGGUGUUUGGAAGCCAGCUGGACAUCCACUCGGGUGGGGUCGAUUUAGCUUUUCCGCAUCACGAGAACGAGAUUGCCCAGUGCGAGGCCUUCCAUCAGUGCAAGCAGUGGGGAAAUUAUUUUCUGCAUUCCGGGCAUUUGCAUGUGAAAGGCAAAGAAGAAAAAAUGUCCAAAUCACUGAAAAAUUACAUUACUAUUAAGGACUUUCUGAAGACGUUUUCCCCCGAUGUCUUCCGGCUCUUCUGCAUGCGGAGCAGCUACCGGGCAGCCAUUGACUACAGCGACGGCACCAUGCUGGAAGCCAAGCACCUCCUCCUGGUGGUGGCAGCGUUUGUGGAGGACGCCCGGGCCUACAUGAAGGGGCAGCUGGUGUGCGGCCCCAUCAGGGACGAUGUGCUGUGGGAGAGGCUCUGCCACACCCAGGAAGCUGUGAAGGCCGCCUUGGCAGACGACUUCAACACGCCCGCAGCGGUGGAUGCCAUCAUGGACCUCAUCCACCACGGGAACAGACAACUGAAGGCGCGCACAAAGGAACCCGGCGGUCCCAGGAGUCCUGCUGUGUUUGGCUCCAUCGUGUCCUACAUCAAACAGUUCUUCGAGACCGUUGGGAUUUCUCUGGCAGACAGACAGUUGGUUUCAGAGGACAGCAGCCGGGCUACUCUACACAGCGUGGUGGAGGAGCUGGUCCGGUUCCGGCUCAAGGUCCGGCAGUUCGCCCUGGCCACAGAAGCGGCCACCAGGGAGGCUGGACGGCAGCAGCUCCUGGACAGGCGGCCCCUGCUAGAGGCGUGUGACACUCUGCGCCAGGACCUUGCUGCCCAUGGCAUCAGCAUUAAGGAUAGGAGCAGCACAUCCACGUGGGAGCUGCUGGAUCACAGGACCCAAGACCACAAACCAGGGAGCUGAGGACUUCCAGCACAUUCUGUGCUUAAGUCACGGCAGUGAAGAAAACCCAGGAAAAAGACUGAGUACACUCUACACACAACCCUCUCCCGCACAGCAGGACCACCAACGGGCCAGGAACACAACACAGGACAUGCCACACACACGCUGUCUCUGCUCCACCCCGCAACAGUCAUCUCAGCAGCAGAGAAAAACCAGGCAGGUGUCACAGUUGGAAUGAAGACCAAAGCUGCCCCAGCUCCAUAAGCCUUAGGGCGACCUGGAGAGCCUCAGGACCGUCACAUGCACCGCACCCAGGACGGGCAGGGGCCUAGGGUGUCAGCUCGUCCUGGGUCCUCAGCUCGCCUGCUGUUCCUUCACCACCCUGAGCCCUCCAGAGACUUUCUGUAUUGGAGUAAAACCCGUGUCGUCUUCCAAGGCCUUCCAGCCCCGCUGUGACCCGUGCACCUCAGUCUCCCAUCACUGCUCCUUCUCUCUCAACUCUUAACUUCUUUGCCCUUCGCAUAACCAGCCCAACAUGUCCCUGCUCCUCCCGACAGUGACGUGGCACACACAUGCAGCAUGAGCUUUAUCAGUGCCCAGCCAUUCCUGAACAGAUCCACACCCCUCCUCUCCCACUUCCAGCCUUUUUUUUUUUUUUCUCCUUAGGACUUUUCACUAUGUGACCUCUUCUCUCAUUUAUUCAUUCGUUGUCAUCUAUAUCACCGUGACUAUAGAGAUUAGCUCCAAUGGAAAAUGUCUGUUUUGUUCUGUACCAUAUGCUCAGAGCAUGGAACAUGGCACAUGGUAGGUGCUCUCUCUCUCUCUCUCUCUCUCUUUCCUGAGGCAUAAUUUACAUAACAAUUCACUGAUUAAGUGUGCACUUCCAUGAGUUUGAACAAAGGUACAUAAUCAUGUAAUCACUGAUGUGGGAAGCAAAGGCAAAAGAAACAUUAAACUUCCUUACUACUUCCAGACCACUGAGAGGUCCUUGAAACAGGCAGAGUGACCUUCGUCUAGGAGCUCAGCUGCCUCAUGUGGACACUUUGCUCAGGGCAAGCCCAAUCUUUCAGGACCCUGUGAGUCUACCUUAACUUACAGAAAUCCCUUUGGAAACUUCCUUUAUCUCUACUCCCCCUGAGAUAGAUGUCAGCGAUCACCCUCCAGACACACAGCCCAGUGACACACGUCUGAAGGGUCUCAUGACAGGCUUUGCUAGACAGCAGUGAAUGGCCUUCUAACAAGAGCUAGUGCCCUUGGGUCCUGGAAACCGUGUUUCCAAAAUACAAUGCCUUGGAGGCUUGUGCUCUCCCUUACCCCCUCCAACUUUAGAGUAUGGAAUCAGUCACCCUCAUGACCCCCCUGAAGCUCUUUCUGCCCAUGGGUCCUGUCCCCAGGCUGUAAUAAAACCACCUUUUUGCAUCACA